GGGUUGUGAGGUUAAGCGACUAAGCGUACACGGUGGAUGCCCUGGCAGUCAGAGGCGAUGAAGGACGUGCUAAUCUGCGAUAAGCGUCGGUAAGGUGAUAUGAACCGUUAUAACCGGCGAUUUCCGAAUGGGGAAACCCAGUGUGAUUCGUCACACUAUCAUUAACUGAAUCCAUAGGUUAAUGAGGCGAACCGGGGGAACUGAAACAUCUAAGUACCCCGAGGAAAAGAAAUCAACCGAGAUUCCCCCAGUAGCGGCGAGCGAACGGGGAGCAGCCCAGAGCCUGAAUCAGUGUGUGUGUUAGUGGAAGCGUCUGGAAAGGCGUGCGAUACAGGGUGACAGCCCCGUACACAAAAAUGCACAUACUGUGAGCUCGAUGAGUAGGGCGGGACACGUGGUAUCCUGUCUGAAUAUGGGGGGACCAUCCUCCAAGGCUAAAUACUCCUGACUGACCGAUAGUGAACCAGUACCGUGAGGGAAAGGCGAAAAGAACCCCGGCGAGGGGAGUGAAAAAGAACCUGAAACCGUGUACGUACAAGCAGUGGGAGCACGCUUAGGCGUGUGACUGCGUACCUUUUGUAUAAUGGGUCAGCGACUUAUAUUCUGUAGCAAGGUUAACCGAAUAGGGGAGCCGAAGGGAAACCGAGUCUUAACUGGGCGUUAAGUUGCAGGGUAUAGACCCGAAACCCGGUGAUCUAGCCAUGGGCAGGUUGAAGGUUGGGUAACACUAACUGGAGGACCGAACCGACUAAUGUUGAAAAAUUAGCGGAUGACUUGUGGCUGGGGGUGAAAGGUCAAUCAAACCGGGAGAUAGCUGGUUCUCCCCGAAAGCUAUUUAGGUAGCGCCUCGUGAAUUCAUCUCCGGGGGUAGAGCACUGUUUCGGCAAGGGGGUCAUCCCGACUUACCAACCCGAUGCAAACUGCGAAUACCGGAGAAUGUUAUCACGGGAGACACACGGCGGGUGCUAACGUCCGUCGUGAAGAGGGAAACAACCCAGACCGCCAGCUAAGGUCCCAAAGUCAUGGUUAAGUGGGAAACGAUGUGGGAAGGCCCAGACAGCCAGGAUGUUGGCUUAGAAGCAGCCAUCAUUUAAAGAAAGCGUAAUAGCUCACUGGUCGAGUCGGCCUGCGCGGAAGAUGUAACGGGGCUAAACCAUGCACCGAAGCUGCGGCAGCGACGCUUAUGCGUUGUUGGGUAGGGGAGCGUUCUGUAAGCCUGUGAAGGUGUGCUGUGAGGUAUGCUGGAGGUAUCAGAAGUGCGAAUGCUGACAUAAGUAACGAUAAAGCGGGUGAAAAGCCCGCUCGCCGGAAGACCAAGGGUUCCUGUCCAACGUUAAUCGGGGCAGGGUGAGUCGACCCCUAAGGCGAGGCCGAAAGGCGUAGUCGAUGGGAAACAGGUUAAUAUUCCUGUACUUGGUGUUACUGCGAAGGGGGGACGGAGAAGGCUAUGUUGGCCGGGCGACGGUUGUCCCGGUUUAAGCGUGUAGGCUGGUUUUCCAGGCAAAUCCGGAAAAUCAAGGCCGAGGCGUGAUGACGAGGCACUACGGUGCUGAAGCAACAAAUGCCCUGCUUCCAGGAAAAGCCUCUAAGCAUCAGGUAACAUCAAAUCGUACCCCAAACCGACACAGGUGGUCAGGUAGAGAAUACCAAGGCGCUUGAGAGAACUCGGGUGAAGGAACUAGGCAAAAUGGUGCCGUAACUUCGGGAGAAGGCACGCUGAUACGUAGGUGAAGCGACUUGCUCGUGGAGCUGAAAUCAGUCGAAGAUACCAGCUGGCUGCAACUGUUUAUUAAAAACACAGCACUGUGCAAACACGAAAGUGGACGUAUACGGUGUGACGCCUGCCCGGUGCCGGAAGGUUAAUUGAUGGGGUUAGCGCAAGCGAAGCUCUUGAUCGAAGCCCCGGUAAACGGCGGCCGUAACUAUAACGGUCCUAAGGUAGCGAAAUUCCUUGUCGGGUAAGUUCCGACCUGCACGAAUGGCGUAAUGAUGGCCAGGCUGUCUCCACCCGAGACUCAGUGAAAUUGAACUCGCUGUGAAGAUGCAGUGUACCCGCGGCAAGACGGAAAGACCCCGUGAACCUUUACUAUAGCUUGACACUGAACAUUGAGCCUUGAUGUGUAGGAUAGGUGGGAGGCUUUGAAGUGUGGACGCCAGUCUGCAUGGAGCCGACCUUGAAAUACCACCCUUUAAUGUUUGAUGUUCUAACGUGGACCCGUGAUCCGGGUUGCGGACAGUGUCUGGUGGGUAGUUUGACUGGGGCGGUCUCCUCCUAAAGAGUAACGGAGGAGCACGAAGGUUGGCUAAUCCUGGUCGGACAUCAGGAGGUUAGUGCAAUGGCAUAAGCCAGCUUGACUGCGAGCGUGACGGCGCGAGCAGGUGCGAAAGCAGGUCAUAGUGAUCCGGUGGUUCUGAAUGGAAGGGCCAUCGCUCAACGGAUAAAAGGUACUCCGGGGAUAACAGGCUGAUACCGCCCAAGAGUUCAUAUCGACGGCGGUGUUUGGCACCUCGAUGUCGGCUCAUCACAUCCUGGGGCUGAAGUAGGUCCCAAGGGUAUGGCUGUUCGCCAUUUAAAGUGGUACGCGAGCUGGGUUUAGAACGUCGUGAGACAGUUCGGUCCCUAUCUGCCGUGGGCGCUGGAGAACUGAGGGGGGCUGCUCCUAGUACGAGAGGACCGGAGUGGACGCAUCACUGGUGUUCGGGUUGUCAUGCCAAUGGCACUGCCCGGUAGCUAAAUGCGGAAGAGAUAAGUGCUGAAAGCAUCUAAGCACGAAACUUGCCCCGAGAUGAGUUCUCCCUGACCCUUUAAGGGUCCUGAAGGAACGUUGAAGACGACGACGUUGAUAGGCCGGGUGUGUAAGCGCAGCGAUGCGUUGAGCUAACCGGUACUAAUGAACCGUGAGGCUUAACCUUACAACGCCGAAG
rnacentral:rRNA from 1 species